ACUACGGGUGGCUGCAGUGGGGAAUAUUGCACAAUGGGCGCGAGCCUGAUGCAGCCAUGCCGCGUGUGUGAAGAAGGCCUUCGGGUUGUAAAGCACUUUCAGCGGGGAGGAAGGCGGUGAGGUUAAUAACCUCAUCGAUUGACGUUACCCGCAGAAGAAGCACCGGCUAACUCCGUGCCAGCAGCCGCGGUAAUACGGAGGGUGCAAGCGUUAAUCGGAAUUACUGGGCGUAAAGCGCACGCAGGCGGUCUGUCAAGUCGGAUGUGAAAUCCCCGGGCUCAACCUGGGAACUGCAUUCGAAACUGGCAGGCUAGAGUCUUGUAGAGGGGGGUAGAAUUCCAGGUGUAGCGGUGAAAUGCGUAGAGAUCUGGAGGAAUACCGGUGGCGAAGGCGGCCCCCUGGACAAAGACUGACGCUCAGGUGCGAAAGCGUGGGGAGCAAACAGGAUUAGAUACCCUAGUAGUC
rnacentral:rRNA from 1 species